GUGCUCACUUCAGCAACACAUAUACUAAAACUAGAAUAAUUCAGAGAUUAGCAUGGCCCCUGGCUGAGGACAACAUGCAAGUUCAUGAAGCAUUCCACAAAAAA
rnacentral:snRNA from 1 species